rnacentral:rRNA from 1 species
AUUGAACGCUGGCGGCAGGCCUAACACAUGCAAGUCGAGCGAGCGGCGGACGGGUGAGUAAGUUAUUGGGAUUUGCCCUACAGAGGGGGUUAAGUUCUGCACACGGUACUUAAUCCCACACACCUUCGGAUCAACCCAUCUGGGAUUAGCUCGUAGGUGGGUUAAUGUCCCACCUCGCCGACGCUCCCUAGCUGGUCUGAGAGGAUGAUAAGCCACACUGGGACGUAGACACGGCCCAGACUCCUACGGGAGGCAGCAGUGGGGAAUAUUGCACAAUGGGCGCAAGCCUGAUGCAGCCAUGCCGCGUGUAUGAAGAAGGCCCUAGUGUUGUAAAGUACUUUCAGUCGGGAGGCGUUACCGACAGAGGAAGAACCGGCGAACUCCGUGCCAGCAGCCGCGGUAAUAC